UCCAAAAAUUAGCAGUUGUCUUUGUAUCUCUCUUCGUCAUUCUCUCCCUCGUCUCUCGUUCUCCAUUGGACGAAGCCCCACAGCAGAUCGACAGCAUGGACGACGAACAGCUGAGCAGCGGCGUGUAGUAAGGUCGACAGUGAAGACGGGGCAGCGGUAGUGUCUCCCUCUCCUCUGUUUCUUCCGGCAAGCUAUGGCUUCGUACGGUAGAUUGAAGAAGCUUGGGGGCGAUGGACGGUGGACUGCAUUGGCGGCUUGUGGUGGCUACAGUGUAUUGAAGAAGAUGAUGAAGGUUGCUAGCUUGGGCGUGGCAAAUUAAAAUGGAUUGAGUGUGGAUUAGAGACAAUGAAGGACUUGGUAGAAGUGACCCGUUCUAAGAGUGCGCUGUAGAGCUAGUUUCCCUUGGAGUUGUAGCUUGGUUUAAAUGGUUUAGUUUAGAAUUCAAAAUGUUGUAUUAUAGUUGAUUUGUAAUUCGAUUAGUGAAUUGUUGUAAUAUGGAUUGUGGUUAGAAAGCUUUGUAGCCUGUGCAUUUGGGCUUAGUGGUGGUCCAAGCGUGGCAUAACACCCCAUUGGUUUAGAGUUUGAAUUCGCUUCCGCAUUUAUUUCCAAUAUGGUUAGUAAGAAUUAUUGUUUAUUUAUGAUUAA